rnacentral:rRNA from 1 species
AUGCAACCAAUCAGGUGCACACCAGCACGGGCCCAUUUCGUCCUGACGCGGCUAUGGCCGACAGCCUCCACUUGGUGGACCCCGCCACCCCACGCGCCGGAGAAAUUAACCGCGUCUCCACGUGGCGCCUCACAAGCCAGGUGCCCGCAGAUCGAGCUAGCCGCCGACAUCGGGGCGCCUUCGGGGUCUGCGGGGUCAGGAUCAUCCUCGGAUCACGAGCCGGGCCCCUCUGCAGAUUCUGUGCGCGAAUCCUUCUUGGAUCCGGAGCCUGGAUUUUCUGCGCAGGAUCCUACAUCAUCUUCUGCCCCGGGAUCUUCUGCACCUACAGCACCAGCGGCUCCUACAACAUCUUCUGCACUGGGAUCUUCUGCACCUACAGCACCAGCGGCUCCUCAACGACAUACUCGGUCACAGUCAGGUAUUAUCAAAGCAAAAGAGUACACUGACGGUACGGUCAGGUGUGGCAAAGUUAAACGUGCUUUUCUCAGUAGUAUUGGUGAACCAACUAAUUUGCGUGAUGCUCUUGCCAAUAAAGAUUGGAAAGAAGCUAUGGAUCAUGAAUAUGAUGCACUCAUGAAAAAUAAAACAUGGCAUCUAGUACCACCAAGGCAGGGUCACAAUAUCAUUGAUUGGAAAUGGGUAUACAAAAUAAAGAGAAAAUCUGAUGGAAGCAUAGACAGAUACAAGGCUAGACUUGUUGCUAAAGGUUUCAAAAAGAAGUUUGGUAUUGAUGGUGUGCCAUUGACGGAUACUAAAAUCAGUAGUGAGUUGUGA